GUGGGCAUCCUUAUGAUGUUAAAUCUAAAUUUCACACUUGUUAUUGUUACUGGUAUGCAGAAGCAUUUCAUUCUGGCAGCUUAGGCCACUAUUUUGAUUAAUCUGUUACCUUUACAAAUUUCCUUUUAGCACUAAUUGAGCUGUGGAUAUAUAUUUUUGUUUCCUUCUUUUUCGAAUUUUUGUUUCCUUCUUUUUUGAAUUUAGUCUUUAAUUGUUUAUGUAGAGAAGUUGCAUGAGUUGGCUUGGAGUGGGGUACCACCAUAUAUGCGGCCAGAUGUAUGGAGGCUUCUUUUGGUAAGCUCGCUGCCUCUAUAUUAAUGACAUAGAAGCUGCAAGGUCCUCCUUGUGUCCCACUUUCUUUAUUUACCUUGUCUUUUCCUUUUGUAUUCUGUAUUUCUUUUCAUUGCAAGUUUAAAACGUUUGAUGCAUGCAGUUGGGUUAUAGGUGUCUAGUUCAUUCAGUGGUGUCCAAUGUUCAGCCCAUGCUUUGAACUUGAAGUUUUAUGCAUGUGUUACUUUGUUAUAUCACUUUUCGUUUUAACUUCUUUCUUUCUUGUGAAUUUUUUUUUUCUCUAUAAUUGGAGUGGAAGUUCUGAAGUAUGUAUUUGAAGAUAGCAUUAUGUCUUAGAAAAGGGGUUCACUUUAUUUGCCUUUUUGUUAACCUGGAUUGCCUUUAUCUAGUAAACAUUGUGGCUUUUUUGAAUUUAAAAUAUGAACUGACAACAGGGAUAUGCACCAUCUAAUUCAGAUAGAAGGGAGGGAGUUCUAAGAAGGAAACGCCUUGAGUAUCUUGACUGUGCUUCUCAGUACUAUGACAUUCCGGAUACUGAGCGGUCAGAAGAUGAGAUAAAUAUGCUUCGCCAGGUGUUUUAAAUGUUAAAAAAGCUCCCAUCUUUCUUAGUUCUAAUAUGUGGCUCCUGGUUUUUACAAUUACCUUUGUUGUCCUUAUUAGAUUGCUGUUGAUUGCCCAAGAACUGUGCCAGAUGUAUCUUUCUUUCAGCAAGAGCAAGUCCAAAAAUCCUUGGAGCGCAUCCUUUACACAUGGUUAAUACUACAUUUGCCCAUAUAUUCUUGGUCAUUGCUGUAUUUUUUGUAACAUCGAAUGUGUUCAUACAAGGAAAAGAGAAAUGAUUGCAUGAAGUGUUACUGAUUGUGCUAAGUUGCAUCUAUUUGGUCUGCUGAUUCCUAAUAACGAAAGUGUAAAAUCUGCAACUGAUUUAAAGGCGUAUGAUUUAUUAAUCUAGGAAUUCCAGUCCAUUUAUCUUUGUUAUAGGGUUCAUCUAAGGGGCUUUGGUUCAUUACACAUGUUGAUUAUCUUGAAAUGACAGCAUGGAACAGUUAUACAAUUUUUUUUUUUCUUCUACAUUUUGUCCUGUUUAGAGAUUUAGAGGUUCGCUAUUACUAAUCAGACAUGAAUGAGAAUUUCUGUCUUUGCCCUAUUGGUUUUCCCAAAGUAGGUCUAGCUCUGAACUGUCUGAGAUAGUAUGUCAAGUUGAUAGUGAGUUGUUUAAGUUAAUAUGUACAUGUUCUCUCUACACUAUCUUUAGGUAGGUUUAAUGUUCUUGACAUUGUGCAUUUAGAGGGCUGGCAUGGGGCAUGAUUCUCAUAUUGUAAUUGUCACUUAACUAUACAUGUUUGCUACAUUUCCGCUGCUAUUUAGUCAUUUUAAUCAGGAUGUUUAAAGAGCCUAGGUUUAUUUCAUGGGGUUUUCAUGGUAGGUCUCUAUGUAGAUGUGGACCAAGCAGGGAGAAAUAGUGAGUAGUGACAAAAGCUCUUCUAUACGCAUAACUUGCCUCAGUUAUGUGACGCUUCCUUUUUCUUCCCUCUUCUUCCUCUAAUUGAGAAAUUUAGCCUAUCAGAUGCAGAUAACAAUUCCUGGUACCUUGAUAGCGUGAAUUGUUUCUAUUUUAUUUUCUGAGCAGUUUUUGGAGUCCAACAGUUUAGCUUCAAAACAAAAAAAAAAAAAAAAAAAACUGGUCUAGAUGUGGAGUAUGGUUUCAAGAUGCCAUCAUUUUAUUAUUUUUUCUUUUUCUUUAAUUAUUUGAUUUUUAUGAUUAUUAGUUAUGUCUUUUCAAGUUACUUCUCAUGUAUUUCAGGGCCAUUCGACAUCCUGCAAGUGGAUAUGUUCAGGGAAUAAAUGAUCUUGUUACUCCCUUUCUAGUUGUUUUCUUGUCCGAAUACUUAGAUGGGAGUGUGGAUAAUUGGUCGAUCUCCGAUUUAUCUCCUGAUAAAAUAUCUAAUAUAGAGGCUGAUUGCUAUUGGUGCCUAUCAAAUUUACUAGAAGGUAUGCAAGACCAUUACACUUUUGCUCAGCCGGGAAUCCAGAGGCUUGUGUUUAAGCUAAAGGAAGUGGUCAGGCGGAUUGAUGGUAACUCCCAUUUUUUGCUUUUAUUUUCUGCUUCUUGCACGCUUUUUACUGGAUCAAGUGAAUCAACCGAUGCUUCUACGCUUGUAUAUGUACUUAUAAGCUUCAUUUUGGUUAAUUUUGCUAGACCUAUUUUGAAUAGGGAAGUCUAUUUUUGGCUGUCUCUUCUAUUAUGUGUGGGGUUGGCUGAGAUGUGGGAUAGAGUGAAGUUUUGGGCGGCGUUAUGGGCUUCGGUUACUCCUGUUUUUAAGGAUUUGGCUGUCUCUUCUAUUAUGCGAGAUUUGUUAGCGGUUGUGAAGUGAUAUGUUGCUAUUUUCUCUUUUCCUGGGUGGCCUCCUUGUUUGUUCUUGUCCUUCUUUCCUUUGUUUGUUUUGGUCUUGAGAUUGCUGUUUUCUUUUGUUUUGCUCUUGUGGAUUCCUUAUCCACUUGCUUGUUUCUUUGUUUAUCUCUUUUGAAUUUAUAAAGUUUCUAUUCAAUAAAUAAAUAAAUAGGGAAGUCUACUCUGGCGUAAUUUUCAUUAUGGAAAUCUCUUUGCUUUUCUGUAUGUAUAUUUGGACUUAUACACAGCCACCAAGAGAUACAAAUGGCAUGGCUUCACAUAUGGCUUUGGCCGGGCUAAAGAAUGGAAUGUUUUAAGCAUGUAGAAACAGAUCAAAGGAAGUUUAUAUUUGUAGUGUUAAUUCAGAAACACUAUAAUAAAAGAAAAGAAAUAUGCUUCAUAUAAUUUCCCCAAAAAGAAAAUGCUUCAAAUAUUAUAAUGAAAAAUCAAAUAGAUUGUUCGUUAUAUUAGGCGCACUGGGGCAUUUUCAGUUUUUCUGAAUCUCAUGAUGCAAUAAAAUGUUGUUGCGCAUCAUAUUAUAGUGAGAGUUUGUUAUAAGUGAAUUCUGGCGAGAGCAGUUUUUGGGGUGUUGGUUUUGUUGAAGGAAAGACCAACUUUUGCUCUUAUACUCAGACUUCCAUUUAAUAUCUUCAGACACUGGCAAUACCUCAUGCUCUAGGAUGCAUGAAACACGUCAAAGUUCUGCUAUCAUCUUUGAUGUACGUACUCAUUAUUUUUUUCCUCUACUGCACUAGAACCUGUAUCCAGACACGUGGAGGAGCAAGGGCUGGAAUUUCUUCAAUUUGCUUUCCGGUGGUUCAACUGUCUUUUAAUACGCGAGGUUUGCUUCUACAGAUCUCUUCUCUGUACUUGCUAUAGUUUCCUCUUUGUAAAAUAUAUUUGUGCGCAGUGCAUAAAGUUGACCAACUGUAAUCUUGAGGUUUACUUGAAUUGUGGUAGAAUAAUUCUAAACAGAUUUGGCCUGGACCUGUGCUUUUAUCAUUUAUUGCAAAGCUAAUGGAAAUUCUUUCUUUUUGCUGCUUAGAUUCCUUUCCAUCUCAUUUCUCGUCUGUGGGAUACCUAUCUUGCCGAAGGAGAUGCAUUGCCAGAUUUCCUUGUGUAUAUAUUUGCCAGUUUUCUUUUAACGGUAAGAUAGAAACUGUUACCACUGCAAACAUAUAGUUUCCUUGGUUUCAUUACGUAUUUGGAUGCAUUAGCUGUGAGCAUGUGAUAAGGAAGCGUGUACUUUUAUUUAUUUGUCCAUUAACAAGUUCGCUGUCCAGUUGGUAAAUGAUGGGGGGGUCGAGAGGCUAUCCUUCUUGACAGAUUUGGUUAUGGAAAAAAAUCUCAUCGUUUAUGAUAAUUUUGACUCUUUAUAUAAGGUUUUAAAGACCUUUUGAAUUGCAUUCAUGGCAUGCAACACGUUCAUCACUGAAAUGCACUGUAGAUUACUUUCCAUUUAACAGAAAUGGUGGACAUAAAUGCAUUCUUGCUCACCAAUCAAGUAUCACUAUGCACAAGGUAGCCUUAUAUAUAUCAUUAGCUUUUUUGCUAUAUUUCCUGGCCCAUGUUUACCAUUUCUCCAGGGUUUUUCUGUACUUGUAUACCUUAUGGGGUGGUAACUACUUUUGGGUGGUGGUUCUAUUGAGAUCCCUUAUUGGUCCACUAAUUGUUUUACUUUGUUUUUAUUCUCUCAACUUCAAAUUUUACCUUUGAAUAAAACUACAACACUUUUCCUUUUUGAAUAAAUUGUAGAUUCAUAUAGAAUGACUUUUGUUCCUUUGUUACUUUUCUUUUGCUCGAGUCAAUUUGACAGCUGAUAAUCUGAAAGGCUAUUUUCUGUGUUAUUUGGCUAUAUAUUCCUUUAUAUUCUUGCUGUAAAGCCAUGGUCUGCUUAAACUGCUCUAAAUUUUUCGUUCAUAACAGAAUUGAUGCCAAUAACUUGAAAUCCACUAUGAUUUGAUAUGCAGUGGUCAGAUGAGCUUCUGAAGCUUGAUUUCCAAGAGUUGGUUAUGUUUCUUCAACACCUUCCCACUAAUAACUGGACUCACCAAGAGCUGGAGAUGGUGCUUUCAAGAGCUUUCAUGUGGCACAGUAUGUUCAAAAGCUCUCCUAGACAUUUGGCCAGCUAAAAAAGGAAUUUGUAAUAUUCAUUAUCUACCGUCAUCUCUGAAUUUUGGCUUUUUUUUUUCUAUUUAUAAUUUUCCGUUUUGUUGUUCUUGAUGUCGUUUACUACAAUUUUUUUCUCAUAUGGUGGAGGCCCCUGGCACCUUGCCCAUAUUAUAUGUAUCAGGUGUCUCUAAUAUUUGUAUUUGCAAGCAUUUCUUUGUAGAUUUGCCUUUGAGCAAUGGAGGAAAAGAAAAAACAGACUUUGUAUUGAUUUGUUCUUACUUCAUUGAACAGAGCCGACGGAACCCGUAAUCGAAGACAUUUCUCGUAAUUGUUAUUAAUGUUGACCACAAAGUCCGGGUACAAUUUCUUCAGCCACCCAUCUGAAGGUGCUGCCAUGGAAGCUGAUGGCUUAGCAAGUUUUUCUUUUUUGAAAUAUUAACAUAUAACUAUAGGUAAUUUUAGAGAGUAACAAAAUUGUAAAUAAAACAAUUUAAAGGUACGUGGGUGGCAUGAGUAGUUUAUUGGGUGACAGUACCGUCACUCUUUCUUAAAAAGAAAAGAAAAUGAUGGCAUGGAGGCCCAAUCGAACAUAGAGUGCUCUUAAGGCCCAGGUUUUAGUGGUUGAGCUGGAACAAACCAACCCUUUAACCACCUUUCUUGUUUCGGUCAUUUACUUUGUGUUGUACACCGUUUUGAGGUUAGGGGAUACUAAAUUAAACAAAAGCCAUUGUUUAGUACAACACACACUCAUAUUGGAAAUAGGGUGACAACCAAACUAAUUUUUUACUUGAUACAAAAUCCCUAAUUUUAAUUAUAUACUCCAUCAUUUUACAUUUUAUAUUAACUAUCUACUCAUUAUCGAUCCUAGCAAAAAAAUUGAACGAAAUGUACUUUAUUAAAAAUACUCAUUAAGAUUUUGAACGGUGCAAAAUUUAGAGUUUAAGUACGAUAAUAAGAGAUGUUGAAAGGGUAGCAAUGAUGGUGAGAAAGGGAAAGAAGAAAAUUACAAAGAAAGAAAGGGGCACUUUAAAAUUUGGUUAAGAAAAGUAUGAUUGUAUUAAUAAGACAAUAGCCUCAAAGAAGAUUGAGAGGAGGAGGAGGGGACUCUAUUUUCAAAGGAAAGUUUAAAGAGAGUUAUUAUUCACACUUUACAAAAGUCAUCGUGCACUCAUUCCUUACAUAAAUAUAAAAUAGAAAUUGCAAAUGGAGGAGAGCAAGAUGUCUUUUUUAAAAGUGAUAAUAACAAUUCCCAAUUUACAUUACAAGUAGACAACAUAGAAUUAGAAUUAUCAACAAAGGACCCAUUACUGUUGUGGUUUGGAGCAAUUGUUCCUUCCGGGAAAGCUUUGGAUUCGAGUCCUAGCAUUAGUAUAAUAUAUGUGAAUUUAAUAUGCUAUCACCCCUCUUAAUAGAAAGGUCUUGAAAAAAAAUUGGCAAAAUAUAUUGUUUCUAUACAUAAGUAUUUGUAUACACAUCCUUUAUAUAAGAAAUGACAAAAUAAUGGAGUUUUAUUGCCUGCCAAUCUUAUCUAUUGCGUUGUUAGAUUUUCAAUUUAGGGCAUUAUUUAAUUACAAAUCUACUUGCUAAUCUUAUCUUAUUGCGUUGUUAGAUUCCAAUAUAAGAGAUAUUUAAUUAAAAAUCUGUUUAGUUGAGCUACAGUCUCGCAACAUAACAUGUUAGAUUUUCUUGUAAGUAAAUAUGUUUCUUUACAGUUCAAAGAAAGGAGCCUUUUUGUGAUUUUUCUAUUUUAUUUUUUCUUAUUCAAAUAAAAUCUUUAAUUUAGGAGUUGAGUUUAUCUAUGCCACCACCACAAGAACCAUGACAAAUAAGGAAAUCAAAAUGUCUAAUCCACAUCACCUUUGAACCUUGAUAAGCCACACCACACAUGACACACGACAAUAAAUUCCCAAUAAAACCGUUAGGUCGGUAGGAUGACGCCACGUGUGAACCUUCAAUAUGGCAGAAGAUCAACGACAGCCAAUGCACGAAACGUACGUAGCUAUAUCAUAUUUGACACGCAUAAAGGCUCCUGCAACGGUAAGAAAAACAAGGCCUUAUGGGCAAGUCUUUAUAACGCAGGCCCCUUACCAGCUUUUGUUUCCAUCUUCUCUCUCUCCUUUCCCUACUUUCUUUCUCUGCGGAGAUCUUCUUCUUUCUUUGGUGCUUGUGCAUCUAAAUCUCUAUCCCUUUCACUUUCACUGCUUAUAUAUAUACAUAUAUAUAUAUACAUACAGGGCAACAGAAACAGUGAGGCUGAUCAUCUUGUUUUCUGAUUUGUUUGUUUUCAUUCUUCUCUCAUGGAGUUUGGGAGAUUUGCUUGGCUUGUGUUGCUGGUUUGCUUUGGCUUGUGUUUCUCUUCCACACAAGGAAACAGAUUCUAUGUUGGUGGGAAAGAUGGGUGGGUCUUGAACCCCUCUGAUAACUACAUCCACUGGUCUGGGAGGAACAGGUUCCAGGUCAAUGACACUCUAUGUAAGAUGCUCAAAUCUCUCUCUCUCUCUCUCUCUCUCUCUCUCUCUCUCUCUAAUAUUUUAUAGGUUCUUCGUUUUUGAUCAUUUUCUGAGUCUGAUCCUCUUUAGAUGUCUUUUUGUUCGUAUUGUGCUUAGUCUAAAAUUACAUUUAAACUCUCAAACUGAAAACAACGUUGUUUCAGACAUAUAUCAGAAGAGAAAAUGACACUUUGUGUUAGAUGCGCAAAUAUCUGGCUAUUUCCUGAUAUCGAGCUUAUGCCUAAAACGAAGACAUAGUAGGACAAAAAAUUUAGAACAUAAAUUAGAGAUCCUAUAUUUCUGCUUAAUUUUUUGGAUUAGUUUGGAAAUUUAUAAUUGUUUGUUCGAAUGCAUGUGACACAUACAGAUUUCAAGUACAAGAAAGGAACAGACUCAGUGCUUGUGGUGAACAAGGAUGACUUCUUCAAGUGCAACACCAAGAACCCAAUUCAGAAGCUAGAUGGUGGUGACUCAGAGUUCACUUUGGAUAGGUCUGGGCCAUUCUACUUCAUCAGUGGGCAAAAUGGUAAUUGUGACAAGGGCCAGAAACUCUUCAUAGUUGUCUUGGCUGUUAGGCAUCACAACAAACCAAACCCUCCUGUUGCUCCCACAACUCCCCCUAGCACCAGCCCUACCUCCCCAUCCCCCAAAUCUCCAUCUCCUCAGUACCCUCAUCACCCUCCUGGGACCUCACCAUCACCAGCAUCAGUGGCUAACCCUCCAGCCACCUCACCAUCACCAGUAGUGGCUAGCCCUCCUGCCACCUCCCCAUCACCAGUGGGCUACCCUCCUGCCACCUCCCCAUCGCCAGUGGGCUACCCUCCUGCCACCUCACCAUCACCAGUGGGCUACCCUCCUGCCACCUCACCAUCACCAGUGGGAUACACUCCUGCCACCUCACCAUCCCCAUCAACAACAACAUCUCCAGCGCUAGCGCCAGGUCCAUCUUCAUCCCUUACACCAUUUCCUUCUCCACCCUCACCGCCCCCCGAGGGGCCCACACCGCCCUCCGAGGGGCCCACACCGGCCCCGUCCGCAGAGUCUGCGGGCCCCACACCACCGGGAACCGUUUCUCCGCCGCCCGGGACAGCGGACUCGACGGCUCCGAGACCGGCGGGGAGUGGAGCGUCGCAUAGUGUAACGGCUCCUUCGAGCGUGCUGGUGUCU
rnacentral:lncRNA from 1 species